CUGCUUUUUUACCCAGAACAGCAAGAGAAGGGUACCCUCAGAGACAGGACUCUUAUCGGUAACUUCUGUGUGCCCGCUAAAUACUACAGAAAACUCCAACAACUUCACGUCCGUGUGUGUUUAUGCUGGAGAAGGUCUGGUGGCUGUAGACUUUCACCCCGGUCAGGCCGUAAGGAAGUGUCAAGCGUCCUCUCCACGCUCAGCCCAGAGAAGACAGAGGAUGAAGCUGAGACCUUCUUCCCUCAGUACAGUAUGGACCACCAUCCUCCAGAGGGCAGUGAGCCCCUCCUCUUCUCCUCCCGCCUAAAGGAGACUCGGGCCUUUCAUCCCCACUCAAAGGAGGAGGCCUAAAGGAGACUCGGGCCUUUCAUCCCCACUCAAAGGUAGCACUCUUUUCCCAUUCCUCAGUGACACUGGCAGCCAUAGGGGAACAGCCAUGUGACACAUUUCUCCUUCCAAGGCUGGAUGGUCUUAGCAGGAACCUAAUAGCAUCCUGAGCUCUCAAUAACAUGAGGGAGGGCUGCAUGGAGACUCUGGAUUUACAGCCCUGCGAAGGGAUGAGCCAGUAUGUUGCUUCUUGGGAACAGCAGGAGGUGACUGCCAAAGUGAAAGUCAUAAGACCUCAGCUCAGGCGCUCAUAAUGCAAAAAAUGCACUAAGGUCAAGGAAAUCUCAAGCCAACAGAGGAAAGAUAAUCUACAGAUACCAACCUCAAGAUGACACUGAGGUUAGAAUUAUCUGACAAAGACUUCAACGAUGCCUUUAUAAAAAAAAAAACACUUCAAGAAGAAUCACACACUCAUGGGCCUGAGGCAGGAAGGUGGCUGCCUUGAUCGCUUUUCAUGGCUGUGAUGAAGCAGGGCUCAAGCAAGAAGAUCACAAAUUCAAGAUUGAUCUAUCUCAAAAACGAAAGAGAGAAAGUCAAGGCGGUUGUGAUGGUGGCUCACACCUUUGGUCCCAGAACUUGGGAGGCAGAGGCAGAGGGAUUGCUGAGUUCAAGGCCAGCCUGGUCUACAGAGUGAGUUCCAGGACAGCCAGAGCUA
rnacentral:lncRNA from 1 species